rnacentral:misc_RNA from 1 species
GAUGAAGAACGUAGCGAAAUGCGAUAAGUAAUGCGAAUUGCAGAAUUUCCGUGAGUCAUCGAAUCUUUGAACGCACAUUGCGCCCACUGGUAUUCCGGUGGGCAUGCCUGUUCGAGCGUCAUUAUCCUCCCUCAAACCCCGGGUUUGGUGUUGGACCCAAGUUGUGUGAACAACUGGUCUCAAAGACAAUGACGGCGUCCGUGGGACCCUCGGUGCAACGAGCUUUUAGGAGCACGCAUCGAGUUGCAAGGACCUUCCGGGCCGGUCUCCUUCACCAUUUUACAAGGUUGACCUCGGAUCAGGUAGGAAUACCCGCUGAACUUAAGCAUAUCAAUAAGCGGAGGA